rnacentral:rRNA from 1 species
UCUAGAGCUAAUACAUGCGAACGAAGCCCUGCCCAGAAAUGGAACGGGCGCUUUUAUUAGACCAAAACCAAUCGACGCCCGUGGGCCUCGGUCCUCGGCGCCGUGCCGUUUGGUGACUCUGAAUAACUUUUAGCAGAUCGCACGGUCUCUGUACCGGCGACGCAUCCUUCAAAUGUCUGCCUUAUCAACUGUCGAUGGUAGGUUCUGCGCCUACCAUGGUUGUAACGGGUAGCGGGGAAUCAGGGUUCGAUUCCGGAGAGGGAGCCUGAGAAACGGCUACCACAUCCAAGGAAGGCAGCAGGCGCGCAAAUUACCCACUCCCGGCACGGGGAGGUAGUGACGAAAAAUAACGAUGCGGGACUCAUCCGAGGCCUCGUGAUCGGAAUGAGCAUACUCUAAAUCCUUAUACGAGUAUCAAUUGAAGGGCAAGUCUGGUGCCAGCAGCCGCGGUAAUUCCAGCUUCAAUAGCGUAUAUUAAAGUUGUUGCGGUUAAAAAGCNNNNNNNNNNNNNNNNNNNNNNNNNNNNNNNNNNNNNNNCUGUCGGUGUUCAACUGGCGUGUAUGCGGGACGUCCUGUCGGUGGCGUGUCCGGCUCCCGGCCGUUCGGUUUAGGGGAUCACGGCGCGCGGUGCUCUCGGGCCCGCCGUCGCCCCGAGGCUCGGUCGUGGACGUCCGGCCGCCUGUUUAAUCCCGUCGCGGUGCUCUUAAACGAGUGUCGAGGCGGGCCGACACGUUUACUUUGAACAAAUUAGAGUGCUUUAAGCAGGCCCUGUCUCGCCUGUAUGCUGUGUGCAUGGAAUAAUGGAAUAGGACCUCGGUUCUAUUUUGUUGGUUUUCGGAACCUGAGGUAAUGAUCAAUGGGGACAGUCGGGGGCAUUCGUAUUGCGACGUUAGAGGUGAAAUUCUUGGAUCGUCGCAAGACGGACCUAAGCGAAAGCAUUUGCCAAGUAUGUUCCCGUCGAUCAAGAACGAAAGUUAGAGGUUCGAAGGCGAUCAGAUACCGCCCUAGUUCUAACCAUAAACUAUGCCUGCCAGCGAUCCGCCGACGUUCCUCCGAUGACUCGGCGGGCAGCUUCCGGGAAACCAGAGCUUUUGGGUUCCGGGGGAAGUAUGGUUGCAAAGCUGAAACUUAAAGGAAUUGACGGAAGGGCACCACCAGGAGUGGAGCCUGCGGCUUAAUUUGACUCAACACGGGAAAACUCACCAGGCCCGGACACCGCAAGGAUUGACAGAUUGAGAGCUCUUUCUUGAUUCGGUGGGUGGUGGUGCAUGGCCGUUCUUAGUUGGUGGAGCGAUUUGUCUGGUUAAUUCCGAUAACGAACGAGACUCUACCCUGCUAAAUAGGCGUUCCCGGUAUCCACAAUCGUGCUACCGGCGAUACAAUAUCUUCUUAGAGGGACAGGCGGCUUCUAGCCGCACUAAACUGAGCAAUAACAGGUCUGUGAUGCCCUUAGAUGUCCUGGGCCGCACGCGCGCUACACUAAAGGAAUCAGCGUGUCUUCCCUGUCCGAAAGGACCGGGUAACCCGUUGAACCUCCUUUGUGCUAGGGAUUGGGGCUUGCAAUUGCUCCCCAUGAACGAGGAAUUCCCAGUAAGCGCGAGUCAUAAGCUCGCGUUGAUUACGUCCCUGCCCUUUGUACACACCGCCCGUCGCUACUACCGAUUGAAUGAUUUAGUGAGGUCUUCGGACCGGUGCGCGGAGGCUGCUCGCCAGUUUCCGAUGUUGCUG